rnacentral:pre_miRNA from 1 species
CCGGGCACCCAGAUCCACAGCAAGGAGGUGGGGGUCGCUAGAUCUAGUGGCCUCGGCCUCCUCCCUGGUCGAUGCAGCAGCGA